rfam:Fukomys damarensis contig90623, whole genome shotgun sequence.
GUAAAGGCUCUUUUCAGAGUCACUACACCUUCACAAAAAAAGCUGAU